rnacentral:rRNA from 1 species
UACGUAGGUGGCAAGCGUUGUCCGGAUUUAUUGGGUUUAAAGGGUGCGUAGGCGGUUCCAUAAGUCAGUGGUGAAAUACGGCAGCUCAACUGUUGAGGUGCCAUUGAUACUGCGGAACUUGAGUGUUGAUGAGGCAGGCGGAAUUGACGGUGUAGCGGUGAAAUGUUUAGAUAUCGUCAAGAACACCGAUAGCGAAGGCAGCUUGCCAAGCAACAACUGACGCUCAGGCACGAAAGUGCGGGGAUCAAACAGG